UCCUCCUCUCUCUCUUCUCUUCUCCCUCUAUUUCUAAUGUAUUCCUGUUGAAAGUGUCAGAGAACUCCUACUUACUGAUAAGAUAAGAUGAAUUGCUACCAAAGAAAUGAAAAAAGUUAACAAAAAAAUAAUUGCAAGGGAGAAGAAAUGAGGUAAUACGAUGAAUAUGUUGAAAUAUUGAACUAUUUCCAUCUUUCUCUAAUGCAUGCUUGCAUCAGUUUUAAUAUCUCAUAUUAUGUCCCCAAUAAUUUAUUGAGUAAAUAGAGUUAAUCAUAGAUAAAGAUAGACAACAUUUGAGUAAAAGGGAAGGAUAGAAUUCAGAUAUCUAUCACUUUUUUGUCAAGCUCCACGAAUGCAUCUUGGUAUCAAUUCCUCUUUCAAAUAUUGCCACCACGGAAGACACACACCCUUUUAAUCUUUAAUGAUUGGCUCAUCUUGGCUCCCUCUCAUCUUAUAGUAAGUAGGGGUUUUGUAUGUUCUAAAGUAUCAAAUAAAACUGUUAAUUUUAUAUCACAACUUUCUUAGCAAAAACAAAAAAUCUUUAAUAGUACUCUCAUCUUCUUUGCCCAAGUUUUGGAAAAAGAAGGAGAAAAAAAAUAGAGAGAGAAAAAGAGGAAAAGGAA
rnacentral:lncRNA from 1 species